ACGGAAGGCAGCAGUGGGGAAUAUUGCACAAUGGGGGAAACCCUGAUGCAGCGACGCCGCGUGAGUGAAGAAGUUAUUCGUAAUGUAAAGCUCUAUCAGCAGGGAAGAAAAUGACGGUACCUGACUGAGAAGCCCCGGCUAACUACGUGCCAGCAGCCGCGGUAAUACGUAGGGGGCAAGCGUUAUCCGGAUUUACUGGGUGUAAAGGGAGCGUAGACGGCUUAGCAAGUCUGAUGUGAAAGGCAGGGGCUCAACUCCUGGACUGCAUUGGAAACUGUUAAGCUAGAGUGCCGGAGAGGUAAGCGGAAUUCCUAGUGUAGCGGUGAAAUGCGUAGAUAUUAGGAGGAACACCAGUGGCGAAGGCGGCUUACUGGACGGUAACUGACGUUGAGGCUCGAAAGCGUGGGGAGCAAACAGGAUUAGAUACCCUGGUA
rnacentral:rRNA from 1 species